rnacentral:rRNA from 1 species
GAUGAACGCUGGCGGCGUGCCUAAUACAUGCAAGUCGAGCGAACGGACGAGAAGCUUGCUCCUCUGAUGUUAGCGGCGGACGGGUGAGUAACACGUGGAUAACCUACCUAUAAGACUGGGAUAACUUCGGGAAACCGUAGCUAAUACCGGAUAAUAUUUUGAACCGCAUGGUUCAAAAGUGAAAGACGGUCUUGCUGUCACUUAUAGAUGGAUCCGCGCUGCAUUAGCUAGUUGGUAAGGUAACGGCUUACCAAGGCAACGAUGCUUAGCCGACCUGAGAGGAUGAUCGGCCACACUGGAACUGAGACACGGUCCAGACUCCUACGGGAGGCAGCAGUGGGGAAUAUUGGACAAUGGGCGCAAGCCUGACGGAGCAACACCGCGUGGGUGAAGAAGGCCUUCGGGUCGUAAAACUCUGUUGUUGGGGAAGAAAAGAUGUAUAAGAAAAUGUCGAUGUCUUGACGGUACCUAAUGAAAAAGCAACGGCUAACUUCGUG